AUUGAUAUAAGAUUUCUCUUUACAAUACACGUUACCUUUGGUAUUUAUUUCCCCGACCCCUUUUCCACAGCAACACGGCAAACACCAUUUCACAGCACCACCGCCGACCCACGUGCACGUUCAACGCCAAUCGGCCCAAUCACCAGACACACCCUCGCACCAACAAGCCCAAUCACCUGCGUAUGGCGUGGCUGCUGCGUUUGGAUUGAACAUCCAAUGCUAGAGAUCUAAAGGAUUUGGCUUGCUCUUUUACUCAUUUCGCAAAUCCGGUAGCGAGUCUUUGACAUGUUUGAUGAAAUGCUUGCCUUAUAAUCUGGCUAUACACACACACACACACACAUAUAUAUAUAUAUAUACACAUACAUAUAUUUGGUGUGUUAUAUGGGAUUGAACAUGCUUGAUAAUAUUUGUGGUUUCAUUGGGUUUGCUUCUCUAACCCCAUUUGAUCUACUUGUUGCUGUAGUAAUAAUGUAGUAUCACUGUCACUCAGAGUUUGAAAGUGAUAUUUAGACAGAUUUCUUUGCAUUAUCAGCUACAGGCUAUUCUGUUCAGCGUUCCAUACGGCCUUGGUAUCGGCCAAACGCUCCAUAUAUAAUCUGUUUCAUAGUGUCGUUGUUGUUUCUUGAUGAAACGAUGUAUCUAGAUUUAAACUGCUUCAGGAAAGAGAAAGUGUAUUUUUACAAGACUCUUUUAUGUUUCAAUAUGAGCAAUGCUAGGGAUUUAAUCGUUUAAGAGACUUCUUAGUUCUUACUAUUAAUGAAGAGCCAUCCAAACUUUAAAAUCAAUUGCAAAUUGGAUUAAGAAUAUUUUGAAUUUACAUUAAUUCUACCACAAAUUCAAUUUGGCAAACCACCAUACCGGUUUUUAUUUGAUUUUUCUAGAGCUAUACGAAUUCUUUUCUGCUUUGUUUCGUUUAAUAAUUUAGGGCCUUUGUGUUAAAAAAAUGUCUAAUUUUGUGAUUGAUAACUUUCUUUUUCCUUGGUGUGUUGUUGGGUGUAUUCCUCUAUCAAUAGGGAAAUUUAUUGGGAUCAAGUUUGCAAGUGCUUUCUCAACUUAAUUGCUUUUUCUAGCUUGAUAUAUUGGUUUCUUUAAAUGCUUAGUUUUUCCUCAUCUUUGGUAUUUUGCAUUAAAUUUGAGAUUUGGGUUUAGAAUUUUUUUUUUUCUUUUGUUGUUACCUACUUUGAUUACUUCUUUUUUGGCAAUGUCACUUGUCUUACCUAAUUUGAUUACUUCUUUUUUGGCAUUGUCACUUAUGAUUAAAUUUCUAUAUCUUUCUUUAGUUUUAUUUUAUUUGGUUCGAUUCAGAUCUAAGAAUUAUGUGAUGUUGAUGACAACAAUGGGCAUGACGAUCAUGCUGUUGAUUAUGGUACGACUUUGGGCUUGUUUUAGAGCUAAAUUUUUUAAUAUUUCAGGUUUUGAGUUCAAAUUUCAUAUUUAUGGUUUUCAAUUUUUUUUUCUUUGAGUGUCCUGUCAGUUUGGUUGUAGAGAAAAUUAACUUGUAUUCAUUUUUCUUAUGUUUGAAUAAUUAUGGUAUAAAUGUUUUGAGUAAAAGAUAUGUAUUUAGUAUGAUUGAGUUCAAGAUUUUUGUAUAUAAGAGUUUAUUACAUUUAUUUCUAUAUGACAAUAAAAACCUUUUUUUUUUUUUUUUUUGGGUAUAAUGAAAUAAUUUCAUGUGGUAUAGAUCAAUAGCUCCUAUUGGUGCUUUGCUUUCACCUACAAUCGCUUUAUUUCUAUUGAUUGGUAUUAAUUCUUAAGCAGCAUAAGCCUUCAGAUAGAAUUUUUUCUGUAGAGGCAUUUGAUUUAUUUAUUUUUUUUAAUCUUUGGUAAAUACAAAAGUGGCUCUAUCAUAUAUUUGUUCUUUUUCUAUAUGGUUUAUAAUUCUUCUGUUUAUUUGUAUAAAAGUUUGUAUUCAUUUUUGGCAUUGCUAUAGAUGAUGAAUUAAAUGUUGAAUUAAGAUGAUCAGAGGAUGGUCCUUAAAUCACUUUGUGACAUGAAGGUAAACCAUCACUAGUUUGGUUACUUGUUUAGUUUUGAUAUUCUUCUUGAAAGAUUACUUAUAGUUGUUAUAUAUAUAUAUAUAGAGAGUAUUUGGGUCUUAAACAUCAUAGAUGGCUUGAAAAACAUUCGUGAUUGGUGUGUCUCCAGGCAACUUUGGUGGGGUCACUGUCCCUGCAUGGUAUGUCAUGCUGGAGGAUGAUUAGCUGAAGGAGUUUGGUGCUUGCAAUGAACACUGGGUGGUUGCAAGAAAUGAGGCUGAGUCUCAAGUGGAGGCUAGUCGAAUAUGUAAUGGGAAGAAGAUUCAUUUAAGUCCAGAUCCUGACAUGCUUGAUACAUGGUUUUCUUCUGGUCUCUUUCCAUUAACUGUUUUGGGCUGACAUGACAAUACAGAAGAUCUAAAGACAUUUUAUGCAACUUCGGUUUUGGAAACUGGCCGUGAUAUUCACUUUUUCUGGGUUGCUCGCAUGGUAAUGCUAGGAAUGAAGUUGGGUGGUGAUGUACCUUUUAGAAAGGUAACAUGAACUUACCCUGCUAUAUCUUUAGAACCAUGUCAUAAUUUUCUUUGUCCUAAGUUGCAUAAUACACUGCCUAUAACAUGACAUUUGACUAAAGAUUCAAUAUAAUAUUAUAAGACAAAUAUUUGUUAACUACAUAAUGUUAUAUAUGUCUGACAUUCCAACCAUUCUCAGACUAAAUAUGACAAUACUUUAAGGUUCAGGAUUUUUUCAGCUGGUAAUGCUCCUUUGCUCUAGCUCAAGUUGGAUCUUCUCCCCAUAAGAACUGGCGGAGGCAGAGCCACAGAGGUUGUGGUUUCAAGAGAUACUAUGUGACGUGUAAAUUACCAAUAAAAGGAUAGGUAUCUAUAUGUUCAGAUAAAGGAUGAAUGGUUUCUUGUCAAUAUUGAGCAGGAAGGGAUGUAUAUCCACAAGAUAUGACCUAGGGCAUUAUUUGUCUUCUGAAAUAGUGGCAGUGAAACCAGAAAAGGUCCUUAUGGACCUUUCACAUAACUCUUAUCUUCUGACCUGGUGUUCACUCUAUCAAUAAAAUGCAUACUUGAAUUUGUGCAAACUCUUUUAUUGUAGCCACUGGGAAACUUCUCAGAUACAUUGUGGUGUGUUUAUUUUCCAUGACACCAGAAACAUUUGGGAGCUACAUCAUCAAAUGAUUGUAAAACAAAUAAAGAGCCUCUUUCCCCCUGAGUUUUCACUUUAUAACUCAAGAAAUGGGGCCUAACUGCUUCUUCUCUCUUAUAUCAUAUCAUUAGCAGGGUUGAGGGUUAUGGUAAGGGAGUAUCAAUGCUCUUGCCCAAUUUCAGUCUGGUGGCCGUAACAAAUUUAUUUGAUAUAUAUGGUUGUGCUACAAGUACCAGUUAAAGCUAUUUGUAGAUAUGUAUACAUGCAUGUAUGUAUAUAGAUGCCAAUCCUCUUUGGAUCAAAUGUCAUCUCCUUCUGUAAACAAUAGCUGCAGGGUGAGUUUAUUAGUUCAAUCCCAUACAGAUGCAUAAGUUGUAUUAUUUCAACAACCAAGAUAAAGCCUUAGUCCAAAUGGGGUUGGCUAUGGAUUCUCAAUAGACCAAUAGGAGUCAAUUAUGCAUAAGUUAUUAACUUAUAAAAAAAUGUAUUCUUUAUAUUUGUAAUUUUUUAUUAUUAUUUUCUAUAUAGUGUACAUUUUCCUGUGCAAAACUACUAUAUUAACUGCGGUGACGUGAUCUGAUUGAAGCACCUUAAACUCUAUGCAGGUUUAUUUGCAUCCCAUGAUAUGCACAUGGGCGCAAGAUGUUUAAGUCCUUGGGAAAUGUCAUUGAUCUGCUUGAAGUAAUAAAUGAGAUAUCCUUGGAAGGUCUUCAUAAGAGGCUAGGGGAGGGUAACUUAGAUCCCAAGGAACUGACUGUUUCUGAAUGUGGUGCUGAUGCUCUCCGCUUUGCACUAAUUUCUUACACAGCUCAGUCUGAUAAAAUAAAUCUGGAUAUCCAAAGUGUGGUUGGGUAUUGUCAGUGGUGUAAUAAAUUGUGGAAUGCUGUAUGAUAGUCUAUGAGCAGGCUUGGGGAUGAUUAUGUUCUGCCCACAAAUGUAAAUUCAAAUGACUUGCCGUUUAGUUAUCAGUGGAUACUCUCAGUAUUAAACAAAGCCAUAUCCAAAAAAAUUAUGGAUUUGGAGUCGUUUGAAUUCUCAGAUGUAGCAAGUACUGUGCAUUCCUGGUGGCAAUACUGUGUGAUAUUUGUAUUGAAGCAAUUAAGCCUUUCUUUGCUGGGAGUAAUCAAAAGUUUGAGUCUGAGAGGAGUUUUGCUCAAGACACACUUUGGUUAUAUCUUGACAAUGGGUUGUGAUUACUUCAUCCUUUUACGCCAUAUGUUACAGAAAAAAUAUGGCAGCGGCUUUCUUCAUCAAGGGACCAUACAGCGAUAGAAUCAAUUAUGAUAUGCAAGUACCCAUCAAUUUUAGAGGGCUGGACAAAUGAACAGUAGAAUAUGAGAUGGAUCUUGUAGAUUCUGCAGUGAAAUCUCUCAGGUCACUUGUAAAUGAAAGACGUGAAAGGCAACCAGCUUUUGUGCUUUGCAGAAAUAAAGCAUUUGCAAAGAUUAUUGACAGCCAUUAACAGGAAAUUAUUACUCUUGCCAAUUUGUCAACUUGAACGGUAUGUUGCAAAUGUUGCUCUUAAAGUGGCUCUCGUACAUUCAUGUUUGAGACAGUACUUAUCAAAAAAAAGAUACACACACACAUUUCAGACAUGCUUUCUUCUACAUAUUGAAGUUCUCAACAAUCAAGUAUAUGCAUGCAAAGCAGUUUGAUAUACCAUAAUGACAUGUUUCUUUAAAAAAAUUUAGCGAUUUUUAAUCUGAUUUUCUUACAGUAUCCAUACUAUGCCAAAAUCUUAGUGCUCUUUUAUAAAUUGGUUUUAAUUUUCCGGAAUUUAAAAAAAUAUAUACAAUUUUUUAUUUUGAUACUGAUUUUGGCUAGAGCAAGUGAAGCUAAUAUCUAAAAUUUAAUGUUCCUUCUGAGCCAAGUUCAGUCCAAGUAUUCAAUCCAUGGACAAGAUAAUGUUAUUUGAUUUUCUUUGCCUGUCUUUGUAUUGUAUGUUUUAUAUUAGUGAAGUCUUUGUAGCCAUGUGGUUAAGCAUGUGUGUCUACGUAUUAAAAUGCUCCUGAGUAAUUAUUCUGCUACUGUAUCUCUUUAAGUUACUGAUGGAUUUUAAAUGGCACUUCCAAUUUAAAAAGUAGAAAAACGAUAAGAAAUGGUGUAAAAUUUGGGAAUGAUGUUGGGAAGGGCAUGAAACGCUUCAAAACAUUAAACAAAAGAUUAAGUAUCAAAAAAAGGCUUAGUUGCUGUUGUAUUUUGUAUCAAAGAAAGACAAAAUUCUACAUUCUUCAGGCCCAAAAAAAAAAAAGAAA